rnacentral:rRNA from 1 species
UACGUAGGGUGCGAGCGUUGUCCGGAUUUAUUGGGCGUAAAGAGCGUGUAGGCGGCCAGACAAGUCUGCUGUGAAAACUCGAGGCUCAACCUCGAGCUGUCGGUGGAAACUGUCUGGCUAGAGUCCGGAAGAGGAGAGUGGAAUUCCUGGUGUAGCGGUGAAAUGCGCAGAUAUCAGGAAGAACACCUAUGGCGAAGGCAGCUCUCUGGGACGGUACUGGCGCUGAGACGCGAAAGCGUGGGGAGCAAACAGG